rfam:Anaerosphaera sp. HMSC064C01 Anaerosphaera_spHMPREF2800-1.0_Cont75.5, whole genome shotgun sequence.
UAAAUACAUGGGAAUGAAGUUCUCCCACGAAAUGAAACCGCUAUAAGCUGAUGACUUCUGUUUUUAC